rnacentral:rRNA from 1 species
GACGAACGCUGGCGGCGUGCUUAACACAUGCAAGUCGAACGGAAAGGCCUGCUUUCCCUUGUGGACUGCGGGUACUCGAGUGGCGAACGGGUGAGUAACACGUGAGUGAUCUGCCCCCAACUUGGGUAUAAGCCUGGGAAACUGGGUCUAAUUCCCGAUAGGACUGCAGGGUGGUGCCUGUGGUGGAAAACGAUUUUCUAGUGGUUGGGGAUGAGCUCGCGGCCUAUCAGCUUGUUGGUGGGGUAAUGGCCUACCAAGGCGGCGACGGGUAGCCGGCCUGAGAGGGUGGACGGCCACAUUGGGACUGAGAUACGGCCCAGACUCCUACGGGAGGCAGCAGUGGGGAAUAUUGCACAAUGGGCGGAAGCCUGAUGCAGCGACGCCGUGUGGGGGAUGACGGCCUUCGGGUUGUAAACUCCUUUCGACCGCGAGGAAGCCACCUGGUUGGAAGGGUGGUGACGGUAGUGGUAGAAGAAGCACCGGCUAACUACGUG